rnacentral:rRNA from 1 species
CCUACGGGAGGCAGCAGUGGGGAAUAUUGGACAAUGGGCGCAAGCCUGAUCCAGCCAUGCCGCGUGUGUGAAGAAGGCCUUCGGGUUGUAAAGCACUUUCAGCGGGGAGGAAACGCCAUGGGUUAAUACCCUGUGGCUAUGACGUACCGCAGA